AACGAACGCUGGCGGCAUGCCUAACACAUGCAAGUCGAACGAGACCUUCGGGUCUAGUGGCGCAUGGGUGCGUAACGCGUGGGAACAUGCCCUUAGGUUCGGCAUAACUCCCCGAAAGGGGUGCUAAUACCGGAUAUAGUCUUCGGUCCAAAGGUUUAGCGCCUUUGGAUGGGCCUCCGUCGGAUUGGUAAGUUGGUAGGGUAAAAGCCUAUCAAGGGGUGGAUCGAUAGCUGGUUUGAGAGGAUGAGCAGCCACACUGGGCCUGAGACACGGCCCAGACUCCUACGGGAUGCAGCAGUGGGGAAUAUUGGACAAUGGGCGGUAGCCUGAUCCAGCAAGGCCGCGUGAGUGAUGAAGGCCUUAGGGUUGUAAAGCUCUUUUACCCGGGAUGAUAAUGACAGUACCGGGAGAAUAAGCACCGGCUAACUCCGUG
rnacentral:rRNA from 1 species